UACGUAGGGGGCAAGCGUUGUCCGGAAUCAUUGGGCGUAAAGAGCGUGUAGGCGGCCCGAUAAGUCCGCUGUGAAAGUCCAGGGCUCAACCCUGGGAUGCCGGUGGAUACUGUCGGGCUCGAGUCCGGAAGAGGAGUGUGGAAUUCCUGGUGUAGCGGUGAAAUGCGCAGAUAUCAGGAGGAACACCAAUGGCAAAGGCGGGUCUCUGGGCCGAUACUGACGCUGAGGAGCGAAAGCGUGGGGAGCGAACAGG
rnacentral:rRNA from 1 species